rnacentral:lncRNA from 1 species
GACAGGAAGUGGGUGUGUCCUACAAGGGAGUAGCUGCAACAGGAAGUGACCACAAUUAGGCCAGCCAGACAUCAACCGCAUAACAUUCGUUCUUGUUCUUCUCCUGUGAGCAUUUCUAUGUCAUCUACUGCAAGUUCUGGGAGCUCGACCUGGACGGCGACCUCGCCAUAGACUGCCAUCUCUUCCUGGAUGAUAGACUGCGUCUUCUCUCUCCGGUGCUGUCACCCAGUGAGCAGCCUGGGAGGUCGGAUCACGCUUUGUGGCCUGAAGCGCUUGAGCCUGGCAGGUCUGUCCGACAUCAUGGAUCUCUAUGGCCUCACUAACGAUGACUGCGAUGACUUGGAGCAGCUGUGACACCCUACUGUGUGCCCGGGAACGGUGCACAUGUGCCUACAAGGGCUUCCUCCCGAG